rnacentral:rRNA from 1 species
UACGUAGGGUCCGAGCGUUGUCCGGAAUUACUGGGCGUAAAGAGCUCGUAGGUGGUUUGUCGCGUUGUUCGUGAAAACUCACAGCUCAACUGUGGGCGUGCGGGCGAUACGGGCAGACUUGAGUACUGCAGGGGAGACUGGAAUUCCUGGUGUAGCGGUGGAAUGCGCAGAUAUCAGGAGGAACACCGGUGGCGAAGGCGGGUCUCUGGGCCGAAACUGACGCUGAGGAGCGAAAGCGUGGGGAGCAAACAGG